UACGCAGGGGGCUAGCGUUGCUCGGAAUCACUGGGCGUAAAGCGCACGUAGGCGGAUCUUUAAGUCAGGGGUGAAAUCCCGGAGCUCAACUCCGGAACUGCCUUUGAUACUGAGGGUCUCGAGUUCGGGAGAGGUGAGUGGAACUGCGAGUGUAGAGGUGAAAUUCGUAGAUAUUCGCAAGAACACCAGUGGCGAAGGCGGCUCACUGGCCCGGUACUGACGCUGAGGUGCGAAAGCGUGGGGAGCAAACAGG
rnacentral:rRNA from 1 species